rnacentral:rRNA from 1 species
AGGAUGAACGCUGGCGGCGUGCUUAACACAUGCAAGUCGAACGAUGAAGGCUGGAGCUUGCUCUGGCUGGAUUAGUGGCGAACGGGUGAGUAACACGUGAGUAACCUGCCCCUGACUCUGGGAUAAGCGCUGGAAACGGCGUCUAAUACCGGAUACGAGCUUCCACCGCAUGGUGAGGGCUGGAAGAAUUUCGGUCUGGGAUGGACUCGCGGCCUAUCAGCUUGUUGGUGAGGUAAUGGCUCACCAAGGCGACGACGGGUAGCCGGCCUGAGAGGGUGACCGGCCACACUGGGACUGAGACACGGCCCAGACUCCUACGGGAGGCAGCAGUGGGGAAUAUUGCACAAUGGGCGCAAGCCUGAUGGCAGCAACGCCGCGUGAGGACGAAGGCCUUACGGUUGUAAACCCUCGUUUUAGUAGGUAAGAAGGACGAAAGGUGACGGUACUGGACCAAGAAAAGCAACCGGACUAACUACGGUGACCCGAGCCAGGCCCGAGGUAACUCGUAGGA